rnacentral:rRNA from 1 species
AGUGAACGCUGGCGGUAGGCCUAACACAUGCAAGUCGAACGGCAGCACAGUAAGAGCUUGCUCUUACGGGUGUAGAGUGGCGGACGGGGGAGGAAUACAUCGGAAUAUACUUUUUCGGGGGGGAUAACGUAGGGAAACUUACGCUAAUACCGCAUACGACCUACGGGUGAAAGCAGGGGAUCUUCGGACCUUGCGCGAUGGAAUGAGCCGAUGUCGGAUUCGCUAGUUGGCGGGGUAAAGGCCCACCAAGGCGACGAUCCGUAGCUGGUCUGAGAGGGUGAUUCGCCACAUGGUAUGUGAGACACGUCCCCGACUCUGACGCUAGGCAGCGGUGCGGACUCUUGCACAAUGGGCGCAUGCGUGAUCUAGCACUACCGGGUGGGUCAAGAAGGCCUUCUGGUUCUAGAGCCCUUUUGUUGGGAAGGAAAAGCAGCACGUUAAUCCCCGGUUGUUCUGACGGUACCCAAAGAAUAAGCACCGGCUAACUUCGUG